GUGCGCCCAUGUUGGAAGCUUGACGAGCGUAAACAAACCGUGAAACAAACAGCACUGUUGCAGAAAAGAAGCAGAUUUGGGUGAAAGAAAGUGUUAAACCACGUUAUAAAAUCCCAAAAGGAUGUGGAAUAUACAGGGAUACGUUAUAUAAGGACACGGGGACCGGCAUGUGGACACAAUAAGUGAUAAAUGGUUUUGAUCCACAUGAAAGACCCAAGACCGGAGCACCGAUGACGUAUCGUUGUCACUGCAGUUCUGCAUAACGGACAUUUUCAGCUUUCGUUUGUGGUGAGCGGAUGUAAACGUCCGGGAGAGAGGUAAACGUUUUGGUUUAUCUAGUAAAACAAUCAAAAUUGUCAUGCUACAGAAUAAGUGUAGCAGGAGAAGUUGUGUUGGGUGUCAGCGCGCCUGCAUUAGUUCACCGGUGUGUGUGUGUGUGUGUGUCACGGUCGAAGGAAAGAAACGACGUAUAAAAAUAUACAACAUCUGUAACUUACUAGAAUGAAAAUAUUGCAGAAGGUGAUGUUUGGUUGGCUUACGGCAGCGAUCCAAGUGAGCCAACGAGACUUUGUUAAGCUAGAUGCUUGUUCUCCUGGUUUUGCCUCUAAACGGUGAAAAGUUAGCUUGUUUUCCACCUUCAUUCUCCUGGUGAUCACGUGUGUUAGCCCACAACGCAGCAAUGAUUUACUAGAGUUGUGUAAUAUAACAGAUCAACUGAAUAAUAGAUUAAUUUAAGGUGCAAAAACGAGACUGAGCGCUGUUUACCGUAGCAACAAGCAAGGACUCACGCCUCCAACGACUGCGUCGGUGAUGACGGCACCAUCACAAGUCCUAUUAAAUCAAAAAUAAGGAACAUUCUGGAUCUGUUUCCUCGCUUCUUUAUUCUUUUUCAUGUAUCGAAAGUAUCAGAUUGGGACUCAGUAUCGGUGCAUUCCCAUACACAACACACCAGCUAUCCCAUCAUGCAAUGCGCGUCAGCACCUGAAACGUCAUCUGACAAAGACCAUUGGUCAAGUGGUUGCUAGGAGAUGAUACUCCCGAGGUUUGAGCAGAAGGGACGGAGUUGAGAACAGUCUUGAUCCGUGCAGUUUUCACGUGUGAAGAAAGGAUGUCAAACCCGGACGCAGAAGCAAAGAUCUGAGGGGGAACAGGGAAUAUCUGACACAGAGCAGACAUUUUAAAUCCCGCUGUCAAAUGUAAGCUCUUGCUUUUUGUCAGCUUAAUUCUUCCAUAUUUGUGCUUUACUAACUCACAAAGACUGCUACGUGUGUGGUCCAUGCUCCAGAAGAGACAGCAUGGCGUUUGCUGUCAUGAAAUCAAACCCCAUCAAUCGGCUGUAAACUUUCGUUAGAAAAACAUCCAGUCAACAUCUUAGAGACAAGCCUCUCCUACCGCCGUCCACCGCAGCUGAACCGGGACCCGGACCGGGCUCUGCCGUUGUGGCUAACACCUCCCAGUCAACAAACAGAAGAGGCUGACGCCAAACUUCUGCUGAAGGAAGAGCAGCAGCCAUAUUGGAGAGCUUUCUACUCGCGCAAGCGCAGACCUCACUAGCUGAAGUUGGAAAGCUAUUCACAGAUUCGACUCAAUAACUUCUGAUCAGAAUGGAAACAUGGCAUACCUCUUUGGUGACCUAGUGAGGUCGUCGAAAAGUUACACUCUCAUUUCAUCAAAACAAACCGCUUGCUUCGGCUUGUCACGUCAUUUGGAAUCGUAGGAUGUCCAAGGAAGAUCCCGCCUUUCUUGCCUCUGAUUGGCUAGAGGGGCUCUCCUACGAUUGGCUGUUUGAUGUAGCAGCAAACCGUUUUCUGUCCUCCUGCCACCAGAACAGCUGUUUGGGGAGUUUUGUAAAGAAAUUAUGAACUUAGCUACUAGGAUAACCAUUCUGUCCUCUUUUGCUAAAUACAUUAUUUUCAGUUUUUUAUUAAAAACACGAAAAAUGUAAAAAGUGAAUUCAUAACAAAUCUUGUUGCAUUUAUCACAAGCUGGACUGAUUUAUGUCCGCUGGUUCGCAAGCAUUUAAGUUAUCUUAUUAAAACAGAGUACAUUGGACAAUCGUGUGCCUUACCUGGGUAUGAAAUAUACUAAGGCCAAUUCUCGCACUUGCACCGUUGGGUUCCGGGCCAGGGGUGCAAGUGCGUAUGGUGUCCCGUUUCUGAAGUUGACCACGCCCCCAUUGCACCCAUCUGCACUUCACCCUGACACCCAAGUCCACAGGGAAGGGUGUUACCCACAAGUCAUUGCUGCAGGAGAAAAGGCUCAAGUUCCUUUUCUGAAAAUAUGUAUUUUCUAAUAAAAUUUGUUCAUUUUAGGAUGAUUAGUUGAUGCUCUAAAACUUUUAGACAAAGCAGCAAUAAAUGUGAAUUUAUUUCAAAUAA